rnacentral:rRNA from 1 species
AGACUUUGAUCCUGGCUCAGGAUGAACGCUAGCGGCAGGCUUAACACAUGCAAGUCGAACGGUAACAGGGAAAGCUUGCUUUCCGCUGACGAGUGGCGCACGGGUGCGUAACGCGUAUGCAACUUGCCCUUAACUGGAGAAUAGCUCCCGGAAACGGGAAUUAAUACUCCAUAGUACCAAGAGGUGGCAUCACCAUUUGGUUAAAGCUCCGGCGGUUAAGGAUAGGCAUGCGUCCCAUUAGCUAGUUGGUGAGGUAACGGCUCACCAAGGCUACGAUGGGUAGGGGGCCUGAGAGGGUGAUCCCCCACACUGGUACUGAGACACGGACCAGACUCCUACGGGAGGCAGCAGUGAGGAAUAUUGGUCAAUGGACGAAAGUCUGAACCAGCCAUGCCGCGUGCAGGAUGACUGCCCUAUGGGUUGUAAACUGCUUUUCUUCGGGAAGAAACCCCCUGACGUGUUAGGGGCUGACGGUACCGUAAGGAAUAGCACCGGCGUACAUCCGGUCUUGC